rnacentral:hammerhead_ribozyme from 1 species
AUCCAGCUGAUGAAUCCGAAAUAGGACGAAAAGCGCGUGCUGGAU